rnacentral:lncRNA from 1 species
UGGGGGUGUUUCUGAACGACGCUGUGAGAGAAUCACUUUCCCCAAGAAAAGGUAUAGCAGAGGGGAAGGGAGAGACAGCAACAGAAAGUGAGGUCGCGGGCCCGGCCGAGCGGCAGCCCCUGCCCUGGAGGGUGGUCUCCAGGGACCAAGGCGUGGCGGGCGGUGCGGAGAGGCGCGGCACAGAUGGCUACAUCAGAGAGCCUCUUCGCUUUGCUCUGGCCCCGAAGCGCUGGGAUUGGGACCUCCCUUCCUCCCGACCAGCUCAUCCUGGGAAAGCUGGGGUUGCUUUUUCGGGUUUCUCUGGACUCUGGGUCUCCGUUGGCAAAGACAUGAUGCCCAGUCAGGAGGAGUAAGGCCUGAGAGAGUUGUUUUGAAUUUCUCCACAUAUUCAGAACGUCCUAAAAGCUCCACAAAAUCUUCAUCAUGAGUGAUUACCAGAAGCUGGAAGUUACGCUGCUGUGAGCGACUUUUUGAAGGCUUACUCCUUCGCCUGGGAUUUUCCUGACCUGUUACUACUUUUCUCUGGAAGAAAAAUUUAAAAGUAAUAAAGACAAACUACAGUUACUUGGGUGAGUUGGCUCCCCAGGCUUUUGAGAUACCUGCCUUUUGUCCAGCACUGCAUCGUCCUCGCAUAUCCAAGGCUGUGUCUCCCUUCAGCAUCACCACUCGGUAGUUAUAAUUCCGCCUUUUAUCAGAAGCUGAUACAUUUUCAUCGGCAUCAGACCGUAUUUCUAUGUAUUCAAUAUCUGACACAGGAAGAAGAAUAUUUUAGAGGAACGGCUUUUAGCAGACUGAAGCCAUGGUUUUUAGUUUUGUCUCUAGUGAUGAGCAGAAAAGAGGGAUGAGGAAGAGGCUUUACUGGUCCAACCAGAAAGAGAAGCUAAGAACCCAUGACUGGAUUCUCUCCCUUGGACACCCCACAGACCAAUAUCUCACCUUCCAGGAGAAGACCCUUCCAGCUCUUGCUUCUUUAAACCUAUUAACUUAGUUUUCUUUAGCUAGACUCCCAAACAUCAGCUUUUACAAUUCAGCCUAUGGUUCAAUCACUAUGGCAAGAUAAACAUUUGUUUAGGUGUGAAAC